rnacentral:rRNA from 1 species
AACGAACGCUGGCGGCGCGCUUAACACAUGCAAGUCGAACGAGAAGGCGUAGCAAUACGCUUGUACAGUGGCGAACGGGUGAGGAAUACAUGGGUAACCUACCCUCGAGUGGGGAUAACCCGCCGAAAGGCGGGCUAAUACCGCGUACGCUUCCGAUCUUGCGGGAUUGGAAGGAAAGCUGUCCCUUGGGGAUGGCGCUCAAGGAUGGGCUCAUGUCCCUAUCAGGCUUGGGUAGGGUAACGGCCUACCAAGGCAUCGACGGGUUAGCUGGUCUGAGAGGACGAUCAGCCACACUGGCACUGCGACACGGGCCAGACUCUACGGGAGGCAGCAGUGAGGAAUAUUGCGCAAUGGGCGAAAGCCUGACGCAGCGACGCCGCGUGGGGGAUGAAGGUCUU